rnacentral:rRNA from 1 species
GUGGGGAAUAUUGGACAAUGGGCGAAAGCCUGAUCCAGCCAUGCCGCGUGUGUGAAGAAGGUCUUCGGAUUGUAAAGCACUUUAAGUUGGGAGGAAGGGCAGUAAGUUAAUACCUUGCUGUUUUGACGUUACCGACAGAAUAAGCACCGGCUAACUUCGUGCCAGCAGCCGCGGUAAUACGAAGGGUGCAAGCGUUAAUCGGGAUUACUGGGCGUAAAGCGCGCGUAGGUGGUUUUGUAAGUUGGAGGUGAAAUCCCCGGGCUCAACCUGGGAACUGCCUCCAAAACUUCAUGACUAGAGUACGGGAGAGGGUAGUGGAAAUUCCUGUGUAGCGGUGAAAUGCGUAGAUAUAGGAAGGAACACCAGUGGCGAAGGCGACUACCUGGACUGAUACUGACACUGAGGUGCGAAAGCGUGGGGAGCAAACAGGAUUAGAUACCCGAGUAGUCC